rnacentral:lncRNA from 10 species
AUAGAGCUAUAACACUCACCGCACGGCCCAAGAUUCCAUUCCUUGGAAUCCGUGAGGCCAAGAACCCCAGGUCAGAGAACACGAGGCUUGCCACCAUCUUGGAAGUGGCCUGCCGCCAUUUUGGAAGUGGCCCACCACCAUCUUGGGAGCUCUGGGAGCAAGGACCCCUGGUAACACUGGCAGUGAGUAGUUGAGACUAUAGGCAUCUGGAUAUUAAGACUGUCUCCAGCCCUUUGAGGUUGAGAGAGGAAGCAAGCACGGAGGAAUGGAUUUGACAAC